rnacentral:misc_RNA from 1 species
CGAAGAAUGUCAUUGAACGAAUUGGUAUUUCCUCUGCAUCAAGUUCACAGUUUAGUUAUAACUUGGAGUCCAUUUGUUAUUGCUUUUUGAUGUUUUUGAUAAUUUUAGGGUUCCAGUUACACUGCAUUUAAUUUCUGCUGCUUUUCAAUUUCCUUUGAUUCCUUUCAUUGUUUUAUUUGCUUUCGAGACACUUUAUAGAUGUAGAUUGGACCUGAUGAUCUGCGUUCGUAGGUGUCUCUGUUGAAUCUGUUCUACAAAUGUUCAACUAUCCCAAUUUUUUUUUGAGAACGUGAUAUAUCUCUAUUAUACUUCCUCCAGUAGUGAAUUCUUCAUAACUUCUUUUAUUUAAAUUAUUCAUUGAAUUCACAGAACCCAUUGG